rnacentral:lncRNA from 1 species
AAAAAAAAGUAAUUUUUGAAAGUUCUAGGAAUUCGAGUAUUUUGAACUUUUUUCAUCACUUCAGGUCCAUGUCUGCUUGGACAGGAAAGAAACUGGACAAGGAAAAGAAAAGAAAAGGUAGCUGUGACAAUUCUCCUGAAGCAGACCCUGUCUUUACAAAAGCAAAGUCUGUGAGAUCUGACAGAUCCAACUUCUUCAGAAGGUCAGGGGAUCAAUACUCCAGCACCAGAUCAGAGACCUCCUACACCAGGAGGAAGGCUAGGCAGUCUUCAGAGCUUACAAGGGUUAGUUCUCUCUCUGCUUCCCUCUGCCGAGAGGAAAAGAGGUCAGACGAAUGGAAGUACAGGCAUGGCUCUAGACAUCAUACUUCUGAGCACCAGAUAAUGGGGUCGGAGGAGGGCUCAGAUUCUCAGGCAGGACAGCCAUCCCCUUUCCAGCAACCCCCCAGCUGCAACUCAGUUCGUGGCUCACUGGCAAGGCAGCAUUCUUCUCUCCAGCACUGGUUCAGCCAGACCCCAGACUACAGCUCAGAUUCAGAAGACGCUCAGAGCUCCUACCACAGGAAGGCGGCAAGCUAUUUGGUGAAUCCUUGGUCCAGAUCAUGAAGGAUUUCUCAGAACACAAACACUCGUUGCGUCAGCUGAAAAAAAAGAGCUCAGUUGGAAGGUCUUCGUUUUCUUACCCUCACAAGUGUCCGAGCUCUGUUCGUUCUCCUCCGAAGUUUAAAGGAGGGAAAGGAAAGUAUAAGAUCUCACAGUCAUUUCAUGCCAAGUAUGAAAGGACAUCUCACUUUCAUAGAGACACCAGACCAUCAAGAGGAACUUUCUGAGAACAUAGACUUUGCUUCCUCCUUUCUCAGGAACUGGGAAGAGUGAAAGACUUGGAAAUUUAUACUGAAUAGACUUAAAUAUUUCUGCACAAGUAAGCCCAAUGCUUAGAAAGUUAGUUGUUUCAAGAUAAGAUUUAAAUUAUUAAAUUACUUAAAUCUUAAUGAGUAGUUAAGAUAAUCUAGAGAAGUCAUAGCUCUCAAUUUUAGGGGAGGUUUUUGUCAUGUUCAAUUUCUAGGCUUCCCAGUAUUCUUGGGAUGGCUUGGAGUUGUUUGAAGUUUUGCACUCUUCAGCUUCAUCUAAGAGCACACUUUCUGCGGAACCAGCCAACAUUGGAUUUUCCUGCCAUAUCAAUCUGAUGAAGGAAAUGAUGCUUUAGGAAACGCAGGUGUUUCAGGAACCACAAAAUGACCGGGAACACUAUGUUGCUGUGACUGGAGGCAUAGCUGCACUUUUACAUAAUAAGGGAAAACAGUGCCUCCGUAGCAAACUGCACUACAGUCCCAGUGGUUUCCUGAGUUGUAGAAGACUGAGAUAGUAAACUGUGGGCAGUCAAUAUUUACACCAACAAACGGCAAGAAAUACAAGAAGUACCACAAAUGUAUGUUCUAUAAAUUAAAAUUAAAGACUAUCGAGCUCCUGUUCAGGUCAGUGUAAGUGUAUAAAUCAGCCUAAAUUUCUAUCCUGGGCCCUAACUCAAGAGAAAUUAAGAAGUGAUGGCAUCUAGAGACCUGUGGAUUCGUGGGUAGGGAGAGACUGCAAGCAUGCAUUUCUUAGUUAACUUCACAGGAAGUAUGAAAAUUUAGCGUGUUAUCGCAGUCUGCAAAAUGUUCUUAGAAAGAUCAAACAGGACAAGGCAACUACAGUAGUAGGACUGCUAGUGUGGUAACACAGGAUGUUUGCACAUUUUGUUGAAUUAUUUUGCCUCUUUUCUUCAACAUUUUGACACACAUGAUAUUUUUCCUAGAAAUUCUUGGAUAUGCUAUGAGAGACUUUCUAGAAAUGGUUGGUGGAGAGUUCUGAGAUUGCUAGAUAAUAUAUUACUCUUCCUUCUUGUUCUGGGU